UGGAAAUGUCACCCUGCCGCCGUCCCGGGGAGCCACAGAGGAAAUCAUUAAAUUGGGAUUUUUCCCUUGCUCUCUCCCCUCCUUUGUUCCCCAGUUCCCCUCCUUUAUUCCCCAAUUCCCCAAAAAUCUGAUUAUCUCAAACUCACCCAGGGAAGGAAUUUUUCUCUAAACUCCUGGAAUAAAAGGAGGAAAUGCAUUGAAAUUUUUUUACAUUUUUUUUUCCUUUUCAGUCCAGCUGUUCAGAGAAAGGAAUGUGGAGUGAAUCUUCCUGGAAUGUCUCUUUACAAGGAGUUUUUGGAGCAGUUUAUUUUUUGUAAAUAGACACAAAUUCCUAAACUAUUAUCUCUCCAGAGAGCCUCCUCCUCCUCCCCAGUUAACUCACAUAAAAUAAAGCUUUUUAAGGCAUGAAGAAGGUUUGUGGCCUCAAACCUCCUUUAUCUCAGCCAGCUGUGUCCGUUGAGCUGAAAUAAAAAUAAAAAAUGUUAUUUUUCUCUUCAAA